CAGGCAGGCCGGGUGGCCGCUGCCCGCUCUGCGGGGAGAGGAAAGUCCGGGCUCCAUCGGGCAGGAUGCUGGGUAACGCCCAGGCCCCGACUUCGGUCGGGGACGGAAAGUGCCACAGAAACAUACCGCCAGCGGCUUCAGCAAUGGGGCGCGUUCGCGCACUCGCACUGGUGAACGACGCUGGCAAGGGUGAAAUCGGGAGGUAAGGGCUCCCGGCUGUCCGCGGAGACGCGGCGGCGGGUAAACCCCAUCUGGAGCAAGGCCAAAUAGGGGGACACUGGGUGCCCGGCCCGUCCCCGGGUUGGCUGCACGAGCCCUGCGGCAACGUAGGGCCUAGAGGGAUGGCCACCACCCCAGAGGUGACAGGAUGGAGUCCUUCGGGACGUAAACUGCCACUCUCUGGGGCACAGAACCCGGCUUACAGGCCUGCCCGGUCU
rnacentral:RNase_P_RNA from 1 species